rnacentral:piRNA from 1 species
UCCACAGGCCUUUUUGGAUGUAAGCUUGG